UUAACACUGAGGCCCCUCGCCUGCAGCUGGAGGCAGCUCUGUGCUCAGCCCGCAGUGCAGCGCGACACAGGCAGGCGACAUCGUCACUGAGUACUAACUUCUGUUACACCGAGGCAGACAUGGAAAACCAUUUCAGAACUGCGGCAAUGGCAGGAGAGAAGCAAAGGGGUGGCUGUGAAGUUAUGGAUAAGACCUCUGCAGGCAACUAGAAGCACAGUGUACCCAGGUGGGGUCCACCCUCGUCAGUGUCUUUCCUUCAGGCAAACUGACAAUGCUGAAUCCAGUCAAUGACGCAAGUGGAUCUGAUUAUCUGCAAGCAUUGAAGGAGCCAGUGAGUGGGAGAAGCAAUGGGCAUACAAGCAGAGAACAUAAUGCAAAAUUCACCAUACUCUCCUGCUUCCCCGGUGAAGGCUUUCCAUGAAGACUGGAGACCAGCCAGGACAAGGCAGAAACUCUGUUACAUCAAGCUCAGAAUUUCAACUAUUGCAUGUUGCUGGACCUUUAAGUUACUGAAUUAAAUGUGUAUUGUGAUUCAUGGGAUUGAAAGAUUUUUCAAUUUCUGAGAGGAAUCAGAAAAAUCAUAGAUUUUACCCAAGGAAAGGGAAAGACUAGCUCCUUCUACAGAAUGGCGAUUUGGGGGAUGGGGGAAAGUAGCUGCUUUCUAAUUGUAUCUUAUGACUCUCAUUUCUCCAGUGGUUGUCUUCUGUAUUUGUAGAUCACCUUUCUUGUUGUGUUAUUCAAAUUAUGUCUAUCAGAAGUUGGCAAACUAUAGUCAUAGGCCAAAUAUAGUCUACAAUCAGUAGUGGUAAAUAAAACUUUAUUAGAAC